AAGAAAGAAAGGAAUGAAUAGGAAGAAAGUCUCUGAGUGGUACAUUCCAAGGCUGGUUAACUACCUGGAUGAGGGUGGUAUCCAUUAAAACCAAGGACAGUUAUUGUCAGCUGCCUGAACCCUGAACUGACUGACAAAGCCACCAAGGCCCUCAUACCUAAGACACCAUGGAUCAGAAAGAAUGGAGACCUACCCGUCACCAUUCAUUCCUUCUCCUGACUUUAUUAUUCCUAUGAGAUGAUGCUGGCCUGGGAUAAGUUAACUGUCACAAGUGUAAUUUCCCACACGUGCUCUCACAGAUGACGUUUGAGCCUUUGUUGGUUAUUCUUCCAUCUUCUAUGUCUUUUCUUCUUGGCCCAGUUUCCUCUCUGCAAAUUCUCAACAUUAAACUAUUUACAGUGGCUUUGUCAAAGACUACUCCCAGAUAACAUUCAUGUUUUCUUUAGGCUUGUUGGGUUUUAAAUAAAGACUCCCCUAAAUUAUCCAAAGGAGAAAGAGGUGUGUUGGAAGAAUAUGUAUGAAUGGCAAUGGGAACCGGAAUUUGCAAGGGGGACUCUCCCUCCAUCUCUAUAUCAAGGACUGUGAGUUCUCUGCUCUUCUCUGUACACCUGCUUGAAUCGUACUCCUGACAACCUUCCUUGGGUAAAUCCUGAUUCCUUAUUCUCCAUUACUUUGAUUUGUACUGAACCAUCAUGGACAUUCAGCCCUGACUUACCUCAUGAUCUUUCAGCUACAGCUUUUGUCUAUGUUAUUUUACUAGUACACAGUACAGAGAAAGAAACGGAGAAAAUCUAAUUGGCCACAUCUAUUUCUGAGCUAGGACAGAGUUUAUAUGUCAUUAUGUGACCCUGAGUUUGUAUACCAUAGGCUAACCUAUGGGUUGGACACAUUUAGGUCCAGGACUCACUUCUGCUAUGAAGCGAUGCAAAGAGAGAUGAAGAGCGUUGCAAAACAUACCAUCAUUUUGUUGGAGUGUAUGCUGCUGUAGCAAAUUACCACAAACCACACAAAAUAUCUUCUAGUUCUGUAUUUUCGAAGUCUUACUGACACAGGUGUCACCAGGCGAAGAUCAAGUUGCCCUACGGCCACAUUCCUUUUUGGUGGCUCUAGGGGAUCCAAUUCUGUGCUUAUUCAGGCUAUCGAGAGAAUUUACUUCCAUGUGACAGCAGAACCGAGGUACCUGCUCCCUCUUCGACUGUUACGUGAGGACUCAUCCUUCUUUUAUAGAGAACCCACCUUCAAGGUCCCUCCCCCAUCUUCAAAGCCAGUAAUGGUGAGGUAAGUCUCUCUCACAGUUUGAACCUUUCCUCUUCUUGACAAACUUCUGACCACAGCCAGAAAAGUUAUAUGCUUUUAAGGACUCAUGCCAUUAAUUUGGAGCCACUCAGAUAGUCCAGGUUUAUUUCGCCAUCUCAAAGUCCAAACACUUAAUCAUAAUUGCAAAGUCCCUUUUGUGCAUCAGGUAACAUUCGCAGGUUAUGAGGAUUAGUGUGAGACAACUUUAAGGUGCCAAUAUUUAGUUCCAUGUAUUAGUAUUCUGCCGACCACAACCCCCAAAUAUCAAAGCCUACAAAGGGAGUUGUUUUCCUUUGGAAAGAGAAAAAAGAUAGGGACAGGCAGACUUUACAAAUACACCUAGUUCACGACAGCAAUUUUGCUCUCCCCAGUCUGGAUCCAUCCAUUUCUAUCCUUUAAAAUUCAGCUGCAGUCCAAUCUCCUCCAAAACUUUUUUUAAACAACUUGAGCUCAUAUUAUUGCAUCCUUUCUCAGACUACAUGUUAAAUUCAUGAGCAAUGCCAGUUUUCCCCCAUUAUUCAAAUUUAUUAAUUCAAUCAUCCAUUCAUUCAGUAACACUUACAGAGAUUUUGUUAAAGGAACUCCUAUAUAACAGUUAUAAAUAUGAAUAUGUAUCAUUAUUGACUUCAAGGAGCACAUGUAUUUUAUGAUCAUUUAUUUUGUUUCCUUAACAAAAAUGCUAGCUUCAUGAAGGAAGAAUCACACGUUUGGUUCUUUCACAGAAUGCUAAGCCAAGGCACAAUCAGUAAAUAAAAGAAUGACCAAUUGCUAAAAGUAAAAAAAAAAUCACUUCAAACUACAGACAUUUAAGCACAAACUAGUAAUUUAAAUUGCAUUCAGAAUGGGAGACUUGGCAUUAUUUACCACACAUCAUCUCAUUUUUA